rnacentral:rRNA from 1 species
UACCAGCUCUCCGAGUGGUAGGGAUGAUUAUUGGGCUUAAAGCGUCCGUAGCCGGCUUAGCAAGUUUCCUGUUAAAUUCAGCGACCUAAUCGUUGAGCCGCGGGAAAUACUACUAGGCUAGGAGGCGGGAGAGGUCGACGGUACUUCUGGGGUAGGGGUGAAAUCCUAUAAUCCCGGGAGGACCACCAGUGGCGAAGGCUGUCGACUAGAACGCGCUCGACGGUGAGGGACGAAAGCUGGGGGGAGCGAACCGGAUUAGAUACCCGGGUAGUCCCAGCUGUAAACGAUGCGGGCUAGGUGUUGGGGUGGCUACGUGCCACUUCAGUGCCGCAGGGAAGCCAUUAAGCCCGCCGCCUGGGGAGUACGGCCGCAAGGCUGAAACUUAAAGGAAUUGGCGGGGAGCACCACAAGGCGUGAAGCUUGCGGUUC